rnacentral:rRNA from 1 species
CCUACGGGUGGCAGCAGUGAGGAAUAUUGGUCAAUGGACGAGAGUCUGAACCAGCCAAGUAGCGUGAAGGAUGACUGCCCUAUGGGUUGUAAACUUCUUUUAUAUGGGAAUACAUUGCUCCACGUGUGCGCUUUUGUAUGUACCCUAUGAAUAAGGAUCGGCUAACUCCGUGCCAGCAGCCGCGGUAAUACGGAGGAUCCGUGCGUUAUCCGGAUUUAUUGGGUUUAAAGGGGGCGUAGGUGGAUUGUUAAGUCAGUUGUGAAAGUUUGCGGCUCAACCGUAGAAUUGCAGUUGAAACUGGCAGUCUUGAGUGCAGUAGAGGUGGGCGGAAUUCGUGGUGUAGCGGUGAAAUGCUUAGAUAUCACGAAGAACACCGAUUGCGAAGGCAGCUCACUGGACUGCAACUGACACUGAGGCACGAAAGUGUGGGUAUCAAACAGGAUUAGAUACCCCUGUAGUC